rnacentral:rRNA from 1 species
ACGCUGGCGGCAGGCCUAACACAUGCAAGUCGAGCGGUAGAGAGAAGCUUGCUUCUCUUGAGAGCGGCGGACGGGUGAGUAAUGCCUAGGAAUCUGCCUGGUAGUGGGGGAUAACGUCCGGAAACGGACGCUAAUACCACAUACGUCCUACGGGAGAAAGCAGGGGACCUUCGGGCCUUGCGCUAUCAGAUGAGCCUAGGUCGGAUUAGCUAGUUGGUGGGGUAAUGGCUCACCAAGGCGACGAUCCGUAACUGGUCUGAGAGGAUGAUCAGUCACACUGGAACUGAGACACGGUCCAGACUCCUACGGGAGGCAGCAGUGGGGAAUAUUGGACAAUGGGCGAAAGCCUGAUCCAGCCAUGCCGCGUGUGUGAAGAAGGUCUUCGGAUUGUAAAGCACUUUAAGUUGGGAGGAAGGGCAGUAAAUUAAUACUUUGCUGUUUUGACGUUACCGACAGAAUAAGCACCGGCUAACUCUGUGCCAGCAGCCGCGGUAAUACAGAGGGUGCAAGCGUUAAUCGGAAUUACUGGGCGUAAAGCGCGCGUAGGUGGUUCGUUAAGUUGGAUGUGAAAUCCCCGGGCUCAACCUGGGAACUGCAUUCAAAACUGACGAGCUAGAGUAUGGUAGAGGGUGGUGGAAUUUCCUGUGUAGCGGUGAAAUGCGUAGAUAUAGGAAGGAACACCAGUGGCGAAGGCGACCACCUGGACUGAUACUGACACUGAGGUGCGAAAGCGUGGGGAGCAAAC